CCGAGGAAAAGAAAUCAACCGAGAUUCCCCCAGUAGCGGCGAGCGAACGGGGAGCAGCCCAGAGCCUGAAUCAGUGUGUGUGUUAGUGGAAGCGUCUGGAAAGGCGUGCGAUACAGGGUGACAGCCCCGUACACAAAAAUGCACAUACUGUGAGCUCGAUGAGUAGGGCGGGACACGUGGUAUCCUGUCUGAAUAUGGGGGGACCAUCCUCCAAGGCUAAAUACUCCUGACUGACCGAUAGUGAACCAGUACCGUGAGGGAAAGGCGAAAAGAACCCCGGCGAGGGGAGUGAA
rnacentral:rRNA from 1 species